rnacentral:misc_RNA from 1 species
CCUCUUAUGCAGCAAUGCGAAUUGAUCAUGGCGUUGGGCCUUGAUUUAAAGAGAGUACGUGGUAUCGAGCUAGAGCUUGGACACUAUGUGCUAGAGACGCAAGUCUUCUCAUAGAGUUCCUGCCUAAUGCUAGAUAAAAUCAAUUUUUU